ensembl:lncRNA
AGAUACAGGGGUACCUCGGGUUAAGCACUUAAUUCGUUCCAGAGGUCUGUUCUUAACCUGAAACUGUUCUUAACCUGAAGCACCACUUUAGCUAAUGGGGCCUCCUCCUGCUGCCGCGCUGCCGAAGCACGAUUUCUGUUCUCAUCCUGAAGCAAAGUUCUUAACCUGAAGCACUAUUUCUGGGUUAGCGGAGUCUGUAACCUGAAAGCGUAUGUAACCUGAGAUACCACUGUAAAUCCAAGGCCAACCUACCAUGUGCUAAAUGACGGAUGGGCAGAAGGUAGAUUGGGAUCUACUGGUAGCUCUCUGGCUGAUUUGCAAUAGGAUGUUUAAGGUUCUAACAUGGAGAAAAGCAGUUGUUCCAAAUAAUAGCCCAAUCCUAUAUGGAUUUAGGUAUACCUGAUUCCAUUGAAAUUAAUAGGUUUACAGUGCAAUCCUGCGUCUCAUAUAUCCUAUAUCCAUAAGUAUAUACAAAAAUGCAGCUUUAAGUGCUGGUAACAUUGCAGAGAAAUAGGAAAUAAGAAUAUAGUAUAUACCUAUGGCUGUUCCUUUUCAAAAUAUGAAUACACUUUUGCAUAGAAUACUGCUUUGCAUUCAGAACUUCACAAGUGCUCUUCCAAGAACCAUACAAAUUAAAAUUAGGACCCAUUUGUUUUUCUGGACAUUUCAAACAUCAUAGUAUUGGUGUUGCCAUUGUAAGAUAGUGCUCAACGUGGCUGACAGUACAUAAAUGAAGAACAAAAUCCUUCAGCAAUAAACACCAAUACAUAUCAAUAAUGCAAUCACAAUAUUAACCAUUUGGUUAAUAAGCUACAUUGUGAGUCAGCCAAACCUGACCAUCGCCAUCAAAUUAAACUGUUGUGUCCAUAUUUGCAACCUUUUUUUCUUUUUUGUAAUUUAGUGUUUUAUUGAUUUUUCAGAGUCAAUAAUACAGAAACAUUAAAUAAAGCUCUCUCUCUACAAAUAAAUAACAAUUACAUUCACCGUCUCCGGUGCCUCACUUUUAUUUUCAUUCACAGCAUCAAAUUAAAUAUAUAGAAAGCAAUUUCCUCUGAGAUAAUUAAUACAAAAAUAUAGUAAGACCCGUUGAACUCUCUUGCUGCUCAACAAAAAUCCACAGCAUUUCACUGUAUGUUAUUCUGUCUAAGAUUGCAGUCCUAACCCCACUUAUGUGGGUGUAAACCCCAUUGAAUUAAAUAUGACUUACCUCUGAGUAGACAUGGUUAGGUUUGUAAUCCUUAUAAACAAAAUUACAGCUGCUAUCUGAACCACUUCUCUCUCCCUACUGUUACAGAGUUCAGUGGGACCUAUUCUCAAGUAAGUGCACAUAGAACGAGACAGCAAUCCAUGACAUAGAUUUAAUUGAACUGGACUUUUAAGUAGCUAUAAGUAUUAUUUGUUCCAGGUUUGUUUGACUAGAAUUAACUUCCUGAGAGAGGUUAGAUAUUAUUUUUAAUGCAUGAAAUAUUUAUUGCACGCUUGUAUGAUAACCAGUAUACUAAUUUGGGUCUAUGUAUGUAGCAAACCUAUGGGCCAGGGAUUAUAUCACUUCAUUCUGUACUUCCUUUAGUAGAGAUGAGCUAAAGUUUGGAAUCAGAAUCUGCCAUCAACAUCUGACUUUUGGUUAAAUGACUGAGGGAAGUUAAUACAACAUUUUUCAUUUCUGUAGAAACCAUCAGACGCUGUCAAAUGUAAACUGCUAUUGCAUGCAACCUGUCAGAUGUUGAAUACUAUAUGUCAGAUACAGAAUUAUCAUCAUUAUUGUAUUUUCUACGUUUAUGUAUAAAAAUAGCAUAUUACAACAAACCAAUUUAAAAUACUACCCCUAAAAUGCAAACUAAACUAAUAGAAUAGAUACAGCAGUUAAAAAC